UAGGGAAUCUUCCACAAUGGACGCAAGUCUGAUGGAGCAACGCCGCGUGAGUGAAGAAAGGUCUUCGGAUCGUAAAGCUCUGUUGUUGGUGAAGAAGGAUAGAGGCAGUAACUGGUCUUUAUUUGACGGUAAUCAACCAGAAAGUCACGGCUAACUACGUGCCAGCAGCCGCGGUAAUACGUAGGUGGCAAGCGUUGUCCGGAUUUAUUGGGCGUAAAGCGAGCGCAGGCGGAAUGAUAAGUCUGAUGUGAAAGCCCACGGCUCAACCGUGGAACUGCAUCGGAAACUGUCAUUCUUGAGUGCAGAAGAGGAGAGUGGAACUCCAUGUGUAGCGGUGGAAUGCGUAGAUAUAUGGAAGAACACCAGUGGCGAAGGCGGCUCUCUGGUCUGCAACUGACGCUGAGGCUCGAAAGCAUGGGUAGCGAACAGGAUUAGAUACCCUGGUAGUCCAUGCCGUAAACGAUGAGCGCUAGGUGUUGGGGACUUUCCGGUUCUCAGUGCCGC
rnacentral:rRNA from 1 species